rnacentral:rRNA from 1 species
AUUGAACGCUGGCGGCAGGCCUAACACAUGCAAGUCGAGCGAAGUCUUCGGACUUAGUGGCGGACGGGUGAGUAACACGUGGGAACGUGCCUUUAGGUUCGGAAUAACUCAGGGAAACUUGUGCUAAUACCGAAUGUGCCCUUCGGGGGAAAGAUUUAUCGCCUUUAGAGCGGCCCGCGUCUGAUUAGCUAGUUGGUGGGGUAAUGGCCCACCAAGGCUACGAUCAGUAGCUGGUCUGAGAGGAUGACCAGCCACAUUGGGACUGAGACACGGCCCAAACUCCUACGGGAGGCAGCAGUGGGGAAUCUUGCGCAAUGGGCGAAAGCCUGACGCAGCCAUGCCGCGUGGAUGAUGAAGGUCUUAGGAUUGUAAAAUCCUUUCACCGGUGAAGAUAAUGACUGUAGCCGGAGAAGAAGCCCCGGCUAACUUCGUGCCAGCCGCCGCCGUAAAAC